UUCAAAUUUGUAUUUUAGUGACAGUAGUAAUUUAAAAGAACUAAAGGAGUAUUUUCUGUUCGUGUCGAUGUACUCAUCCUGUGAGUGUUUUGAGGCGUUGUCCAGCUCUCCCAGAUGUCAAAAGGGGCCAGUGCUCUUGGAGAUUAGAGGCUGGAGGUAGACGGUUUGAGAGAACUCCAGACAGAGAACUACAGCCCCUGCCUUCACAUUAACAAGAGACAAUACUACAAGUAUAAUCGCUUCUGUGCAUUUCAUAAUGUAGAAAUGAGUUCAUAAUCAAAAAUACUUUGUCUAACCAUCUCUUGUUUAGCCUCUUUAUGGUAAGAUCUGAGAGUGUAAGCUUUGCCAGAUUUCAUUUCUGUAGCUACCAUACAUAUAUUUUCAGCAUAGCUAAGUUAAAGUUUUAACUUCCUUAAAGCCAUUGAGAGAAUACAUACUGAAAAUGGUUAAUUUUUAACUAAGAACAUUGGUGAGUUAGUUCUCAUGGUUUUGACCUAUUUAUAACCCAGCAGCCAAACUUCUUGAGCAUUGACUCUGUGUUCCACAUUGUACUAGCUCUUUGGGGAUUCCAGAAUGUUCAGAUCACACGGAGGAGCCAUGUGUUCAAGGGCUAAGAAUGUAAAGAGCAGACCAGUGACUCCAGUGUACAAAUCCCACAGUCAGUGCUGUAGGAGUGGGGCGUGGCAAAGACUGGGCUGAUAGGAGACCGCUCUGUGGUGAUUGCAUCAGAAAUAGAGCAUUUGGUGAGACCAGCAGCAGGAAAGACUUCUGCAGGGCUGGAGGGGCAUAGAGACUGAAGUGAGCUUGGGCCGUUUGUGUACUUCGGAAAUCCACGGCUCAAGGAGAACGGAGGACGGGCUCUGGGUGCCCUGUCUCCGCAAUAUGGGAAAGGAUGGAGUUAGAGACAUAAUGCUUGGAGACUUCAUUAAUGACAAAAAAAAAAAAUGAAGAAGAAGAAGAAGCUAGGAACUUAAUAAAAAUGGUAGCACAGUUUCACACUGAAACGGUUCAAAACCACAUAAAUAUUACAUCAAAUAAUAUUCUUUUCCCAGGAAAAGACUUGAAAUUUGUUUCUUGUCAGUUAUUGUGAAGUAGUGAAAGGUGGUUAUUGGAAAUCUGGCUAAGAAUUAACACCAAAUGUGGAUGAAUAUGGCUCAUGAUACAUUAAGUAAACUGAUAUAAUUGGGAGGUAUAGUUACGUAUAUUUUCUGAAUUAAUUAAUUUAUUUAUGUGUGUGUGCACAUGUGUGCAUAUAUGUGUGGGUGCUGCUGUGCCAUCAGGCAUGGGUGGAGGUCAGAGAACAACUUUUGGAGGUUGAUUCUUUCCUUCACUACAUGGGCCCCAGAGACUGAAUUCUGGCUGACAGGUUUGGUAGCAGCUGUCUUUACCUGCUGUGUUAGUUAGGUUUCUUUGGCUGCAAGAAAACCCUGUGACCAGAAGCAGCUUGGGGAGGAGAGGGUUUAUUUAGCUUCCAUGUUCCAAUCAUAGUUUAUCGUUGAGGGAAGUCAGAGCAAGAACUCAAGGUCGGAACUAAAGCAGAGCCUCGGAAGAAUGCUGCUUACUGGCUUUCUCUUCCUGGCUUGCUCACUUUGCUCUCUUAAAUACCUUCUUGCCUAGGAUGGCACUACCCACAGUGGCUAGGCCCUUGCAAAUCAAUCAUCAAUCAAGAAAAUGCCCUAGAGGCUUGCUUACAGGCCACUCUGAUGGAGGCGUUUUCUCUUGAUAUGAUGUAAACUUGUGUCAAGUUGACAAAAAACUAGCCAACACACCUGCAGAGCCAUCCUGCCAGCUCAUGGGAGAAAAACUUUUGAAACAAUAUUGAGAUACGAUUCACAUACCAUAAAUGUCACCUGCUGAAAAUGUAUGAGAUGGCUUUCAGUACAGUCACAGAUAUACAUACCCAUCACUAGACUCAAUUUUAGGGUAUUUUCGACACUUCAAAAAGAAGUAUAUUUCUACGUCCUUAUUGCUACCCUGUUGAUGUCUCUAAGCAACCGUGAAUUUUGUUACUAUCUCAGUAGGUUGCCUGUACUGGGCAUUUCAUAUAAAAUGAGUUCAAUUUGU